rnacentral:lncRNA from 1 species
UGUGAUGAUUCUGAGGCGUCUCCAGCCAUGUGGAACUGUGCUGCUGGGUUGGAACCAGAAGAUCCUGGUUGGAACUUUAGCCCUCCUUUUCUGGCUCUCUGAUCUGGGGACAUCAACACAGAGCUAACAGGUGUUGAGCACCUUUCCUGUGACAGAGAAAGCCUGCCUGGUAGAAGAGAAAGGAGCCAAGCAAAACCAAAAAACGGAUAUGAGAUGAAAAGGAAAGAGAGUAGAGUCCUGGUGACAUCAAGUCCUGGCUCUCUUUGGUCCGUAAUGCCCUCAUUCCUUUAGCUCCUCCUUCAAGCAGAGUAAAGAACAGAGGGUAACAAGCUGUGGGAUACACUUCUACAGUUUUACAUUGGUGAUCAGGGAAGGCUUUUCUACUAAGGUUAAAUAUGAUCUGAGAUCUGAAUAAAGUAAGGGAGUGAGUCCUGUAGAUACACAGGGGAAGAGAAUUCCAGGCAGAGGGAAUAGAAGGUGCAAAGGCUCUGAGAUGGGAGGGAGCUUGGUAUGUUCAAGGAAUUGCAAGUGCACCAAUUGUGUCUGGAGCUGAGUGAGAAAAUAAUAACUUAUCCUAGAACUUCUCUCUGGGGUGUCUCAGCUAUGGAGUUUCUCUCUGCCUGGACUAGAGUUGAUGUUGGGACCUGAACUGCAGCCCCACAGGCUUUGGUGCCUGUAGCUGCCGGGGGCUAGAAAGGUCAGAGACUAGCACUGAGGUUUUUUUUUUUUUUUUUUUUUUUUUGCUCUGUAAUCCUAUAUCUGUCAAUAUCCAAAGGAUAUGACCUCCUUCUAAUUAGCUUCCUCUAAUAACUCACUCAGGAGCUGUCAUAAACUACUCUUUCUACAAGGAUUCAGAGAAGGGAACAAUUCUGUGUGGCUAGAGUAGACAGAAAAGCUUCAGUGGGAAUGAUUCCUUUCAUUACAAUUGUUGAGGUGUGACAUUCCAUGAACACA